UGGCGGACGGGUGAGUAAUGUCUGGGAAACUGCCCGAUGGAGGGGGAUAACUACUGGAAACGGUAGCUAAUACCGCAUAACGUCGCAAGACCAAAGAGGGGGACCUCCGGGCCUCGCGCCAUCAGAUGAACCCAUAUGGGAUUAGCUUGUAGGUAAGGUAACGGCUUACCUAGGCGACGACCCCUAGCUGGUCUGAGAGGAUGAUCAGCCACACUGGGACUGAGACACGGCCCAG
rnacentral:rRNA from 1 species